GAUGACCUCCGUGGAUGGCGUAUG
rnacentral:siRNA from 1 species